rnacentral:rRNA from 1 species
GUGUCAGCAGCCGCGGUAAUACGAACCGGACAAACGUUAUUCGGAAUCACUGGGCUUACAGGGUGCGUAGGCGGUCUGGAGGGUGGGGUGUGAAAUCCCUCGGCUCAACCGAGGAAUUGCGCUCCAAACCGGCAGACUUGAGGGAGACAGAGGUGUGCGGAACUGAUGGUGGAGCGGUGAAAUGCGUUGAUAUCAUCAGGAACACCAGUGGCGAAAGCGGCACACUGGGUCUCUUCUGACGCUGAGGCACGAAAGCCAGGGGAGCGAACGGGAUUAGAUACCCCGGUAGUCC